GUUUUAAUAGUUUAAAAAAACAUCGGUCUUGUAAACCGAAAAUAAGUCUCCCCCCACUUUUAAAACU
rnacentral:tRNA from 1 species